AGUGAACGCUGGCGGUAGGCCUAACACAUGCAAGUCGAACGGCGGCACAGUAAGAGCUUGCUCUUACGGGUGGCGAGUGGCGGACGGGUGAGGAAUACAUCGGAAUCUACUUUUUCGUGGGGGAUAACGUAGGGAAACUUACGCUAAUUCCGCAUACGACCUACGGGUGAAAGCAGGGGAUCUUCGGACCUUGCGCGAUUGAAUGAGCCGAUGUCGGAUUAGCUAGUUGGCGGGGUAAAGGCCCACCAAGGCGACGAUCCGUAGCUGGUCUGAGAGGAUGAUCAGCCACACUGGAACUGAGACACGGUCCAGACUCCUACGGGAGGCAGCAGUGGGGAAUAUUGGACAAUGGGCGCAAGCCUGAUCCAGCCAUACCGCGUGGGUGAAGAAGGCCUUCGGGUUGUAAAGCCCUUUUGUUGGGAAAGAAAAGCAGCAGGUUAAUACCCCGCUGUUCUGACGGUACCCAAAGAAUAAGCACCGGCUAACUUCGUG
rnacentral:rRNA from 1 species